rnacentral:rRNA from 1 species
AGAGUUUGAUCAUGGCUCAGGACGAACGCUGGCGGCGCGCUUAACACAUGCAAGUCGAGCGAGAACCAGGGCUUCGGCCCUGGGGAAAGCGGCGAACGGGUGAGUAACACGUGAGUCAUCCACCCUCGGCACCGGGAUAGCCCGGGGAAACCCGGAUUAAUACCGGAUGGCCCGUCUGCCCUUCGGGGCGGCCGGAAAAGGUAGCUUCGGCCUCCGGCUGAGGACGAGCUCGCGGCGGAUUAGCUUGUUGGCGGGGUAAAGGCCCACCAAGGCGACGAUCCGUAGCUGGUCUGAGAGGACGAUCAGCCACACUGGGACUGAGACACGGCCCAGACUCCUACGGGAGGCAGCAGUGGGGAAUCUUGCGCAAUGGGCGAAAGCCUGACGCAGCGACGCCGCGUGCGGGAAGAAGGCCUUCGGGUUGUAAACCGCUUUCAGGAGGGACGAAGCCAACUCGGGUUAAUAGCCCAGAGGGUGACGGUACCUCCAGAAGAAGCCCCGGCUAACUACGUGCCAGCAGCCGCGGUA